CAGAGGGUGCGAGCGUUAAUCGGAAUUACUGGGCGUAAAGCGCGCGUAGGCGGCUUUGCAAGUCGAGUGUGAAAUCCCCGGGCUUAACCCGGGAACUGCAUUCGAGACUGCAUAGCUAGAGUAUGGGAGAGGGAAGUGGAAUUUCAGGUGUAGCGGUGAAAUGCGUAGAUAUCUGAAGGAACAUCAGUGGCGAAAGCGACUUCCUGGACCAAUACUGACGCUCAUGUGCGAAAGCGUGGGGAGCAAACAGGAUUAGAUACCCUGGUAGUCCACGCCAUAAACGAUGACAACUGGAUGUCGGGAGGGUCUGCCUCUCGGUGUCGUAGCUAACGCGUUAAGUUGUCCGCCUGGGGAGUACGGCCGCAAGGUUG
rnacentral:rRNA from 1 species